rnacentral:lncRNA from 10 species
AUGCCACCCGGCCCCCAGCAUCAGCCCCGCGGGAGGCCACGCGGAAGUCAAGCUCCUCAGCAGGGACCCGCACAGACGCAGACCACCAGGGCUGUUCUCCCCAAAGCCCCCCUAGUCUCCGCCCACGUGUGCCCCCCUCCCCCCGCGCCCUGCCCCUGUAAACGCCUCCUGACCCUGACGUGGCUGGGCGAGCUGCAGAAGUGCCGAGUCCGACCAGGGGCAGCCUCGCCCGCCGCUCAGCUCGGGAAUCCCCGCCCCCCACCAGCACCUCCGUGGGGGGCACCGCAAGUUCAAGGGCCUGGACUCAGAGACCAGAGGCUGGAACUGGCAGACUGUCCUCACAGGCUGUGUGAUGCUGGCUGGUCGUCCCAUCUCUCCGGGGCCCCACAGGACCAGGGACCAGGACACGGAAGGACAGUGGACCACAGUGGUCGGGGGACCCGCCUGUUGGAGGUUUACCUCCUGGGCUCAUGGCCCCUUCCCCAUAUCCCAAGGCCAGCUCUGCAGAGUCAUGGGGAGAAGCCGGAGCCCCAGCCACACUCGCCACACACACCAACACCCACUCUGGUGUCCUCCGACCAGCGACAGCGAGGGACAGAGCGGCGCUCCCUGCACCUGCCCAGUCCAGAGGCUUCUUGGGUGAUGACAGGCCCUGCUCCCGGCCCUGCACACCCCACUAAAGACCCCACGUCUCACCAUAAAGGAGGCCAGGAGGUUUUAAGCUUCUACCAGGUGGUUUAAGGCGUGAAUGAAUGAAGGAGCAAGCAGUAAACCCCGACAACAAGGCCACCACAGCCCUCACCCGACUGAGACGCUCGAGCAAGGACCCAAGCAGGGGACGAGCAGGCUUACCCCCUCUCGCCAGGCUGACCAUGAGGCCCCAUCCGGUGGAACGCGCCAUGACAGCGAAUGCCCUGCCCCAUCCCACGCGGCUCCCGCUGGCCACGAGUGGCUGCCAAGCUCUCAGAAACGGGGCUGGUGCCCUGCAGACCUGGAUGUUUUACUCAGUGCAGCUGUGAUUUGUGUCAGCUUCAGAAGGCUCAUGUAGCUGGGGCUGUAUCAGUCAGCAGGGGGGAGAGAAAAUGCACAGCCCAGGGAAUGUGGAGACAGGCCCAGCCCUGGGCACGGGGGCCGGAAGGAGCAACUGGGGAGCAGCGAGCAGGGCCUGGGGCGGCCUUGCAGGUCAGAGGUCAGGGAAGGCCUGAGUGGGGGUGAAUGAAAAGGUCCCCCAGUGAUAUUGGAGGGGCAGCGGGGAAGGGUCCCGGAAGAGCAUCCCGGGGAGUGUGCACAGGGAGACAGAGGCCUGGAGGCGGGAAGGGGGGCCUGGUGUGUCCAGCGGGCAGAGCCGCUGGAAACAGGAGGCCAGCAUGGCUGCUGCCGGGGCAGUGGCGGUGGAUGGGUGGCCUGGGGCUGAGCUGCGGGCAGGGUCAGACCAUGCCAGGCCUUGUACGCCAGCGCCAGGGCUGCAGGUGUCCUGCUGAGGGGCACAGGCCUGGACAGUCUGGCACGUCUGUGGCAGGGCCCCUGUGGCUGCUUUGCUGAGGGUGAGGGUGGAGGGCAGAGGUUGGAGCAUCAGGAGGCCCUGCCCAGCCACAGUGCCCUGGGGAGGGCUGCCCAGUCCUGGCUGUGCCUUGAAAGUUUUCCCGAAAGAUCCACUGUUGGAGCAGAUGUGGUCACAAGAGCAAGGGGGAUGUCAGAUGGUCUGGGCCCUGGGGAAACAGGGUGCAUCCCCUGGGAGGGGACGGCCUGUCACCAGGGCGCCUUCCGAGACCAUUGCAGGUGAUGAAACUGAGACUCAGGAGGAAAAUCCAGUUGCCCAGCAUGCAAAGACCCAGAGCCUAUCUUCCUGCCCCUACAUCCCUGUCCGUCCCAGAUCUGAACCUGCCCCAGCCCCAGGACUCUUAAGUGCAUCCAGAGGGAAGCCAGGCUGGAGAGUGGGGAGCACAGAGACUGUGGCCUGGAUGGUGCCAGAGCGAACAGGAGAAAGGCUCCCCCACACAGAGGCUGCGGCACAACCCAGAGGGUCCUGGGGUUGGCUGGGCGGGGGCAGCUCCCAGCGAGAGGCCCCUGGGAUUUGGGUAAGUGGAGGCACAUGCAGACUCUGGCCACAGGGCACCUCGCACAUGAGGGGAGUUCACCACACAAUUUGAGCGGAGGGCGGGCGCAGGAGAGCAGCGGUGUCCCAGAAGCCAAGGGUGGUCAUGGAGCCCCACGCCACAGCGCUCCCUACAGGGCCACACCAUCCGGUCUGCGGAGGGGACUGCAUUGCUGGGAGGGACCCACCUGAUCCUGGAUUCCAGCCUCACCCUGGGUCACCGCUGAGUGUCCCAAGUGGCCACUUAGCCCCCAGGGCCGGGCGGCGUCCCCACCCCCUUGGGAUGUCUGUGCUCAGAGUGUGGCAGACACACAGCCGUGGGUUCAGGGUCUCUAUUGUGGGCAGAGAUUCACACAGUCAAGGUGAGGGUCCCAGCAGCACCUGUGACCAGGCCCUGGCUGCCAGGGAGAGGGGGACCCUUAACCGGCGGGGCAGACAACCUGAGAUGGACCCUCGUCCAGGGGAGGGCCCCGCCGCCCACAACUCCUUGGCAUUCCUGCACCAGCAGGACGGGCUGGAGGAGGCGGCCCCGGGGCGCCUCGCCGGUGUCAGUGCCCAGCACCACUGUGCCCCGGUGGAGGGGGAGGCCCUUCCGAGCCUGGGCCUGGAUGUGAAUGAGGGCAGGUUUCUCAUCUCUCUGACCUCAGCUUCCUCAACUGGGAAGGGGAGCUGCAGCACCUGCUUGGGGUGAUGAGGAAGAGGGAGCUCAGGGAGAGCCCUGGGCAGGGCUGCCUCCUCACCUUCCUUCAGCCUUUGGACAUGAGCGCAGAGGACCAAGUGAAUGAAUGAAUGACUCAGUCAAUCAACUGAUCCAUCAAUCCAUGGAUCUCUGGGCAGUCGGACAGCUGGGCAGCAGGCAGGAUGGGGGACUCUCGCUGAAGCCCCAUUCAUAUGUGUUCAGCUUUGUGAGUGGGGCGAGGCUGAGGGCUUUUUCAGUGGGGGAGGUGCACAGCAGGGCCAGUGCCUUUGGAGGGUCAGGCCCCAGAGGGCGGGGACACCUGCCAGGAUGCCCAACCCCAGAGGCGGUGGCAGCCAUGGUCCCACUCGGCAGUGGCUGUGAUGAGGGCUGUUCCCACUUUGUCCACACGAUUCCAGCCGCAGCUGCCCCACACAUGAGCUGUCCCUAGUCACCCAGCACGGCCGGACGAAGCCCCCUGCAGCCAAGGUGCUCCGUGGGGCGGGUUUCUCAAAGCUAGUAUUUUCCAUGGUAUCUUACGUCCCAGCAGAGGCCCACCACUGUGCCCGGACCAGCGGCCCACUCGGUGAGUCAAACGUGCACCUGGCACCCCUCUUUUUGGAAAUCCACGAACACUGGGCUCCCAGAAGAGACUGAGGCUGAGCAGGCCACUUCCCUGGAGCUGACUCCACAGCUGUGUAGGUACAGGGUGGCCGUGAACACUUAGGGCUUUCUCAGGCUGUGCACUUCUUGUUUACUGCAGGGAGCAGGGUGUUGGCUCCUGACCAAGCCCUGUCACUGCUGCCCAGCCACACAUGGGGCCCCUUCACCCACCCCUGACCACCUUAUGCAGGGAAGCCACUGUGGAAACAGUCUGGCAGUCCCUCGAAAAAUGAAGUCAUCAACCCCAGCAAUUCCACUCCUGGGCCUAUGACAGAGCUUGCACGUCCCCUCCAAAGCUCAUGUUUAGAUGUGAGCCCCAGUGCUGGAGGUGGAGCCUGGUGUGUUUGGGUCCUGGGGGCGGAUCCUUCAUGGCUGGGUGCCAUGCACCCACUCACCACAGUGAGUUCUCACGAGAUCUUGUUGUUGAAAAGUGUGUUGUACCUUCCCCACAAUUCUCUGUCUUUUGUUCCGCCUCUGGCCAUGCAACAAGCCUGCUCCUCUUUCACCUUCUGCCAUGACUGUAAGCUUCCUGAGGGCUGACCAGAAGCCCAGCAGAUGCCAGCACCAUGCUUCCUAUACAGCCUGCAGAACUGCAAGCCAACUAAACCUCUUCUCAUGAAUUACUCAGCUUCCGAUUUAUCUUUAUAGCAAGGCAAGACCUGACUAUUACAACACAUGCUCCCCAAAAUAAAAAGAAAUAUUCAAACAAAUAGGCACACAGGAGUCUUCCCAGUGGCACUAUUCACAGCAGACAAAAGGUGGCGGUAGCCACAGGCCUGUCAGCUGAUGAUAGAUAAAGAAAGCAUGGCCUGUCAUCCCAGCAUUUUAGGAGGCUGAGGCGGGCAGAUCACCUGAGGUCAGGAGUUCAAGACCAGCCUGGCCAACAUGGUGAAACCCCGUCUCCACUAAAAAUAUAAAACUUAGCCAGGUGUGGUGAUGAGUGCCUGUAGUACCAGCUACUCAGGAGGCUGAGGCAGGAGAAUUGCUUGAACCCGGGAGGCAGAGGUUGCAGUGAGCUGAGAUCAUGCCAUUGCACUGCAGCCUGGGUAACAGAGUGAGACUCUGUCUCUAAAUAAAUGAAUAAAUAAAUGAAGUGCGGCAUAUCCAUGCAGGGGAAUAGCAUUCAGCCCUAAAAAGGGAUGAUGUGGGGACACGGGCAGUAACAUGAAGUGCCUGAAAACCCUGCUCGGCGGGAGAAGCAGACUCAGAGACCGCAGGUUGCACAAUUCCGCUGAUAGGAGAUGCACAGAGCGGCAGCUCCAUGGAGACAGAAAGCAGAUUCCGCGGUGCGGGGGUGGGGAGAGGAAUAGGAGUGACUCUGCCUAAUGGGCUCCGGAGCUCCUCAGGGGGUGACAAAAGUGUCUGGGGAGUAGACAGAGGUGGUGGCUGCACAGUGUGGCAAAUGCACUAAAUGCCACUGAACCAUACUCGUUAAAGUGGUCAUUUUAUGUCACGUGCAUUUCACCUGUUUUUUUUUUUUAAAAAAAAAAAACAAAAACAGUUCAGAGUCCAGCCCCAACCCUCUCUCAGUGACCUCUGCCCUGGGACACAGGGCCACCCAGACCGUGAGCUUGGGCCCCCUCGGGCUGCCCACUGAGGAGGGGCAGCUACUGCUGAGGUCUGACCUUGCCUCUCCUGAUGCCCCAGCCACACUUGGGAGAGAGGAAGGGUGGGGGGUGGCUGCCCUUCUGGCCAAAGACACCGUCCCAGGGCCAGUCACAGGUUUGCCAGGGAGGGCCGUAAGAGACCUCAGCGUUAGCACUGCCCAAGCCCGUCUGCUGCUGGCAUAUUCCCUGUGUGGGGACAGAGUAAUGCCCACUACCCCUAAGGAUGUCCAAGAAUCCGUGGCCAUGCCACCUUAUGUGGCAGCAGGGACUCUGCAGGAGGGACAGAGCCGGAUGCUGUGUGUGGGC